GAUGAACGCUAGCGGCAGGCUUAACACAUGCAAGUCGAGGGGCAGCACGAUGUAGCAAUACAUGGGUGGCGACCGGCGCACGGGUGCGUAACACGUAUGGAAUCUGCCCUUUACUGGGGAAUAGCCCUCCGAAAGGAGGAUUAAAGCCCCAUAACAAGUCAAGUGGCAUCACUUGGCUUUGAAAGCUCCGGCGGUAAAGGAUGACCAUGCGCACGAUUAGCUAGUUGGUGAGGUAACGGCUCACCAAGGCUACGAUCGUUAGGGGGCCUGAGAGGGUUAUCCCCCACACUAGUACUGAGACACGGACCAGACUCCUACGGGAGGCAGCAGUGAGGAAUAUUGCGCAAUGGAGGCAACUCUGACGCAGCCAUGCCGCGUGCAGGAAGAAGGCGCUACGCGUUGUAAACUGCUUUUAACCGGGAAGAAACCCCAGGACGUGUCCUGGGUUGACGGUACCGGAGGAAUAAGCACCGGCUAACUUCGUGCCAGCCGCCGCAGUAAAAC
rnacentral:rRNA from 1 species